rnacentral:tRNA from 1 species
GCGGUCGUGGCGGAAUUGGCAGACGCGCAUGCUUGAGGUGCAUGUACCCAAAAGGUGUGGAGGUUCAAGUCCUCUCGACCGCACCA